UAUUGUACCCUACCCGAUUUUCCCAAUUGGGUAGGUAUGUAUGGAACAGUUGGUACUUGUGAAAAAUUAAUUUAAAAAAUCUUGCCUAUUUCCAUAUAAAAUUGCUGAAAAUGGAUUAACAGUCUUGUUUAUUUCAAAAGCUUAGAAGCUUUUACACUUAGAAUGUAGAAAAAUGUAAAAUCGUUAAUGAUUCACAUGUUAAUAAAUUUCAAAAUGUUUUUUCAUUAGUAAAUUUCAUUAGAAGCACAAAAGUACAAUUUGUUUUUAAAUUUUACAGCCGAUGGUGGCCAUUUUUCCAUCGGUUGAAUGCUUAUUUCUAGGGAUUUUUGCGCUAAUUAAAUAUUUCAGCUUUAAAAACAAUGCAUCCUAGAACAUUAAAAUAAAUACCAAUCUCUUCAGAAUGAUCCGAACAUUAAUAUGGACCUAUGAGUAUGCACCUAAAACUAAAUGUACUGUAUAGAUCUGAAUACAUGUUCAAAGUUUAACGCAAUAAGAUUGGAAAAAAUGGAUUUUCAAAAUUUUUUUAUACAAGAAGGCAAAUGACAAAAGUGGGUAUGUCAAAUUCUGAAGUUUUAAGGUGUGGACUUGCUAGAAAUGUUCAAAAUCGUAGUUUGAAGUUUGAAGCUCAAUAUGUCUGUUGGGCAUGAAAAUAAAAAUUUGAAAUUUUGGCUCAGAUUUAGUACUAAGUAAAAGUACUAGUAUGAAGACUUACUAGUUCCAAUUCCAAGAUUGCAUCAGUUGAGAAUUGAUCUCACCAUCUUUUUUGCUCUAUAGUUGUCUUAAUCUAAGAAAAACAGCACUUUUGAUAUACCUGCUUUGUUUAGUCAUACCAGCUCCAAUGUGAUAAAAAUGUUAACGUACCUUUCAACUCUGAAAACAUCAAAAUUGGAAUCUGUAUAUUUCAAAAAAAUGUCUGCAGCUCAUCAAGCACAGGUUUUAAACAUAACACAUAAUCAAAAGGAAUAUUGGUUACACUGACUACACAUGUAAACCUUUUGCUAACAAGGUUGGAUGGUAAAUUUUAAGUUUUAAAAAUGUGCAAGUAACCACAAUAUCCGAAGACAAUCCAGGAAACAUUCAGAUUCCAGUCGACUACGUUGCUGAUGUUUAUGUCUUCAAACCGAUAGUAGGAAGUGUUUUAACAGGAAUAGUAAGCAAGAAGAAUAAUAAUCAUAUAGCCUGCUUGGUGCAUAAAACAUUCAAUAUAACCAUUCCACGCCCCAUGAGAAUCACAGUUGAAGAUUGGAAUGGGAGUACUUUAAAUAUUGGUGAUGAAGUUACU